GGGUUUGAACUUCAGAGGAAAGGCUCAGAGAUGAGUCCCUCCCUUCGGGGAUCUCUGGAGAGGUGCCGCAUGGCUGUCGUCAGCUCGUGUCGUGAGAUGUUGGGUUAAGUCCCGCAACGAGCGCAACCCUUGUUCACAGUUACUAACGGGUCAAGCCGAGGACUCUGUGGAGACUGCCGGUGAUAAACCGGAGGAAGGUGGGGAUGACGUCAAGUCCUCAUGGCCUUUAUGUCCAGGGCUACACACGUGCUACAAUGGACGGUACAGAGAGUCGCGAGACCGCGAGGUGGAGCUAAUCUCAAAAAGCCGUUCUCAGUUCGGAUUGCACUCUGCAACUCGAGUGCAUGAAGUUGGAAUCGCUAGUAAUCGCGGAUCAGCACGCCGCGGUGAAUA
rnacentral:rRNA from 1 species